UACAGAGGUCCCAAGCGUUGUUCGGAUUCAUUGGGCGUAAAGGGCGCGUAGGCGGCCCGCUAAGUCGAACGUGAAAUCCCCGAGCUCAACUCGGGAACUGCGUCCGAUACUGGCGGGCUUGAAUCCGGGAGAGGGAUGCGGAAUUCCAGGUGUAGCGGUGAAAUGCGUAGAUAUCUGGAGGAACACCGGUGGCGAAGGCGGCAUCCUGGACCGGCAUUGACGCUGAGGCGCGAAAGCUAGGGGAGCAAACGGG
rnacentral:rRNA from 1 species